rnacentral:rRNA from 1 species
UACGUAGGGAGCGAGCGUUGUCCGGAUUCACUGGGUGUAAAGGGUGCGCAGGCGGGUUGGUAAGUCAGAGGUGAAAUCUCACAGCUUAACUGUGAAACUGCCUUCGAUACUCCCAAUCUUGAGUUAAAGAGAGGUUGAUGGAAUUUCAGGUGUAGCGGUGAAAUGCGUAGAUAUCUGAAAGAACACCAGUGGCGAAGGCGGUCAACUGGCUUUUAACUGACGCUCAGGCACGAAAGCGUGGGUAGCGAACGGG